GGAGAUGCUUCCCCGGCACCUACCUGAACCAUAGCUGGAUGCUGAUUGCUCUUUCUGCCUCCUGCUUUUACUCCCACCCUCACCUCCUUCUCCACACUCCUACCACCGAUGUCUUCUAAAAUGCAAAUCUUUCCCAUUGCAGAACUGCUGAGAAUAAUCGAAAAUGCUCUGCCUGGCAACUUCCAAGAACAAAACCCCAGGGACUAAGAGAACGCGAUGAUUUUUAAGCUGCCAGUUAAGAUGUAGGUCCUUCAUCAUCACAGGUGAAGCACCAAUGCCUCUCGCACGUGAAAUCCGUACACUCCUAGAGUCUUACUACCUAAUGCAUUUCCGCAAUCCGGGACGCCUGUCAUUAGCGUCUCCAAUAGUUCUGGGAACGAGGUGGACUGCGGAAGUACUGUAUUAAAAAGUUAACGUUUUUCCCUGGGACACCCCCUCCUCACAGCUAUUAACGAGGGUAGAGAAAUCAGGUGACUCCCAGUCAUCAUGCAGAGGUUUCCUUACCAUUUACGAUCCAGUCAAAUUAAA